rnacentral:rRNA from 1 species
UACGAAGGGGGCUAGCGUUGCUCGGAAUUACUGGGCGUAAAGGGCGCAUAGGCGGCUUGGCAAGUCAGGCGUGAAAUCCCUGGGCUCAACCUGGGGGCUGCGUCUGGGACUGCUGGGCUGGAGGGCGGAAGAGGGCGGUGGAAUUCCCAGUGUAGAGGUGAAAUUCGUAGAUAUUGGGAAGAACACCAGUGGCGAAGGCGGCCGCCUGGUCCGUACCUGACGCUGAGGCGCGACAGCGUGGGGAGCAAACAGG